AUCCUUGAUGACACAUCUCUGCAGUUGUACAGUUGGAGUUGAAUGAAGACUUGUUUUCACGAAAUCAAAUAUUUAUUGAGGGCCUACUGUGUGCCGGGUCUGGAGCCUGAGGGAGUUCCCUACUCCUUCUCCGUUGGACAGCUGAGCACCACGAGAAGAAAUCUCGGAAAAUCAGGGCUGAGACCACAACCACCAACAGAGAAGCCAAGUUUCCUGCUUUCCCAAAUGCAACGUGAAAUAAAG